rnacentral:rRNA from 1 species
UGGGGGAUUUGCACAAUGGGCGAAAGCCUGAUGCAGCGACGCCGCGUGGGGGAUGAAGGCUUUCGGGUUGUAAACCUCUUUCGCUAUCGAACAAGGCCCGCUUAGGGUGGGUUGAGGGUAGGUGGAGAAGAAGCGCCGGCUAACUACGUGCCAGCAGCCGCGGUAAUACGUAGGGCGCGAGCGUUGUCCGGAAUUAUUGGGCGUAAAGGGCUUGUAGGCGGCUUGUUGCGCCUGCUGUGAAAACGCGGGGCUUAACUUCGCGCGUGCAGUGGGUACGGGCAGGCUUGAGUGUGGUAGGGGUGACUGGAAUUCCAGGUGUAGCGGUGGAAUGCGCAGAUAUCUGGAGGAACACCGAUGGCGAAGGCAGGUCACUGGGCCAUUACUGACGCUGAGGAGCGAAAGCAUGGGUAGCGAACAGG